CUAAUACAUGCAAGUCGAGCGCAGGAAGCAGACUGAUCUCCUUCGGGAGUGACGUUUGUGGAAUGAGCGGCGGACGGGUGAGUAACACGUGGGCAACCUGCCUGUAAGACCGGGAUAACUCGCGGAAACGCGAGCUAAUACCGGAUAAAGCUCCAUGCCGCAUGGCAUGGGGAUGAAAGACGGCUUAGCUGUCGCUUGCAGAUGGGCCCGCGCUGCAUUAGCUAGUUGGUGGGGUAACGGCUCACCAAGGCCAUGAUGCAUAGCCGACCUGAGAGGGUGAUCGGCCACACUGGGACUGAGACACGGCCCAGACUCCUACGGGAGACAGCAGUAGGGAAUCUUCGGCAAUGGACGAAAGUCUGACCGAGCAACGCCGCGUGAGUGAUGAAGGCCUUCGGGUCGUAAAGCUCUGUCCUAUGGGACGAUAAUGACGGUACCAUAGGAGGAAGCCCCGGCUAACUACGUGCCAGCAGCCGCGGUAAUACGUAGGGGGCGAGCGUUGUCCGGAAUUACUGGGCGUAAAGGGUACGUAGGCGGCUAGGUAAGUCAGGUGUGAAAUCCAUGGGCUCAACCCAUGUAAGCACUUGAAACUGCUUAGCUUGAGUUAAGGAGAGGAAAGCGGAAUUCCUGGUGUAGCGGUGAAAUGCGUAGAUAUCAGGAGGAACACCAGUGGCGAAGGCGG
rnacentral:rRNA from 1 species